ensembl:lncRNA
AGAUAGUUGCCUUUCAAUUGUGAGUAGCAGCUGAUGGGAAACAGAAAACAAGAAUAAGACUUGCAGAGUAUCCAACACUGACUGUUCAGAUUUCUCCCUAAUGGAGAUGAUCCCUACCUAAUUCCCCUAUAUAUUGUGAGCCAUUGAUUUUAUAAGAUGCCUGUUUAUUUGGACUGUGAUAGAGGGAAAGAAUUGCCAAGAAGCUUGGUCUGGGAUCUCUGGGUGAAAAGGUGUCCUGUGUUCAGGGUCAGAGGAGAAGGACUCAUCCAGCUAUGGAUUAUGUGAAGGAAAUUAGGUUCUGCUAUCUCCAUGGGAAAUUAGUUUCAUUUUUGAGCAAAUAAAUAGUUAAACAAAAGGGCCACUCUUCUGUGUCGGCAGCAGGUCUGGCCAUCUCUGUGACAUGGCCUGAGGGGGUUGGGGACCAAAGCUUCAGAGAAUGUUCAAGGGAGGCCUGGGCAAGAGGAACGGAGAGAGGGGUGUAGCCCUGGAGCCAGAAGUUGCUAAAUGACAAAGAAGCUGAGGGGGAUGAAAAAGAAAUAGGCAAGGAAGACUUAAACAGUGUCUGAGAAGGAAGGACACGACAGGAGUGGGAACGUUCCAAGGACAGAUACUCAGGAGCUAACAGUGCAUGCGCUCACAGAGAAGAUUAUUCAGAAAACUGUAAGGAGCAUGCAUUUCUAUGCUUGGAAAUCAUUGCCUUGACAAGUUGGCAUUAAUGAGUAUGUUGUGACUGUCAGUUGUGCCAAGACAGAAAAAAGUGUUGAUACUUACUGUAAUAAGCAGAAUAAUGGCUCCCCAAAGAUGUCAACAUCCUAAUUCCUAGCACCUGUGAAUGUUACCUUACAUGGCAAAAGGGAUUGUGCAGAUGUGAUUAGAUUAAGGACCUUGAGCUGGGAAGAUUGUUCUGGAUUACCUAGGGAAACCCACUCUAAUCACAUCAGUCUUUAAAAAUGGAAAACUUUCCCUGGCUGUGGUCAGAGGGAGAUAUGAGUAUGGAAGAGAGAACUGAGAGAUGGCAGCAUGAAAAGGACUCAGCCCAACAUCAUUGGCUUUGAAUGAAGAUGGAGGAAGGGCCCACAACCCAAGGACUGCAGGCAGCUCCUAGAAGCUGGAAAACAUCAAGAAGAUGCUCUCUUCUGGAGCCUUCAGGAAGAAACGUGGCCUUGUGAGACCCAUGUCAGACUAAUACCUCCAGCACUGUAAGAUAAUAAACUUGUGUUGUUUUUAAGCCGCUACGUCUUUGAUAAUUUGUUGUGGCUGAAAUGGAAAUGAAUACGCCCACUCUUCUGGACUGAGGGUCGAGGGGCCUGAGCCUUGGUGUUCUUCAUCUUGCAGGAAGCUAUAGCCUGUGAGCUUUUCCACUACUGAAGCACCACUGUUCCCUCAUCCAACAAAUGAAGGAGUUGGUUCAGAUGAGUGGUUUUCAAAUAUUUUAACCCACAGAACUUUUCUUCAAAAGGAGUGUUAUACAGAAGAUGGGGCUGCUCUGCUGAAGCAGGGAGGAGGUCUGGAGCCUGGUGCAGUGGGAGCAGGGCAGGCUGCCAGGAGGGGUCAUCCAGGGCAGCACUUCCUGCUGAGGGAAGGCAUUGGGCCUUGUAAGUCCACGGUCUGUGUUUAUAAGCAAUAGGCUUCCUGAAUAAUAUGCAUGGAAAAAUUUUUAAGGAAAAUAUAUCUGGUGCUGUUGAUAAUCAGUCAGAGCAAGGAUUCUGAAAAUUGUGUUGUCAGAAAAUUGAAAAUGUGCAUUCCUGUUUUAAUUAAGCAUUCUUCUUGAGAAAGCACAUUCUGUAUUUUGUUAGCAAACCAGGAUGAAAUCAGAGGGUAAAAAAAUUUGUCUGAAAGUAUGUUAACAUAAAACAAUUUUGCUGAACCAAGUUUUUAAAAGCUCAGUGAAACAAAAUUCAGUUGUAUUAAAUGAUGCCAAAAUAACUUAUUUGACCAUAUUGUUAGCUUUUCAAAUGGAUACAUGGGUAUCCACGUGUGAUUGUUUUUUUGUUGGCAACCUUAGUUCAUUGGUAAGCCUCAGUCUUCUUUGCUGCUUGUGUUUUUCGAUGGCUGUUUCCAAUAUAUUAAAAUGUUACCUUUGAACUCAGAGCUAGAGAUUUGAGAGAAACUGGGGAUGGGGGCAAUUUGAUAUUCAGAAGCAACAUGAUUCUCCCCAGAGAAGAUGAGGUGAUAUUCCAGCCAGCAGUUCUAUGGAUGUGCUAGCAACAGACACAGCAGAGGUUUUGAAGAGCAGUGAAAUGACAGUGACAGAGCAGUAAUCAUGAUAUGACAUGAAUGUGUGUGUGCAUGCACACACGUAUAUCAUGUAUACACAAACAAAUGC